AUGCACCGAAGCUGCGGCAGCGACACUAUGUGUUGUUGGGUAGGGGAGCGUUCUGUAAGCCGUUGAAGGUGGCCUGUGAGGGUUGCUGGAGGUAUCAGAAGUGCGAAUGCUGACAUAAGUAACGAUAAAGCGGGUGAAAAGCCCGCUCGCCGGAAGACCAAGGGUUCCUGUCCAACGUUAAUCGGGGCAGGGUGAGUCGACCCCUAAGGCGAGGCCGAAAGGCGUAGUCGAUGGGAAACAGGUUAAUAUUCCUGUACUUGGUGUUACUGCGAAGGGGGGACGGAGAAGGCUAUGUCGGCCGGGCGACGGUUGUCCCGGUUUAAGCAUGUAGGCGGAGGUUCCAGGUAAAUCCGGUACCUUAUUAAACGCUGAGGUGUGAUGACGAGGCACUACGGUGCUGAAGUGACAAAUGCCCUGCUUCCAGGAAAAGCCUCUAAGCAUCAGGUGACACGUAAUCGUACCCCAAACCGACACAGGUGGUCAGGUAGAGAAUACCAAGGCGCUUGAGAGAACCCGGGUGAAGGAACUAGGCAAAAUGGUGCCGUAACUUCGGGAGAAGGCACGCUGAUAUGUAGGUGAAGUGAUUUACUCAUGGAGCUGAAAUCAGUCGAAGAUACCAGCUGGUUGCAACUGUUUAUUAAAAACACAGCACUGUGCAAACACGAAAGUGGACGUAUACGGUGUGACGCCUGCCCGGUGCCGGAAGGUUAAUUGAUGGGGUUAUCCUCACGGAGAAGCUCUUGAUCGAAGCCCCGGUAAACGGCGGCCGUAACUAUAACGGUCCUAAGGUAGCGAAAUUCCUUGUCGGGUAAGUUCCGACCUGCACGAAUGGCGUAAUGAUGGCCAGGCUGUCUCCACCCGGGACUCAGUGAAAUUGAACUCGCUGUGAAGAUGCAGUGUACCCGCGGCAAGACGGAAAGACCCCGUGAACCUUUACUAUAGCUUGACACUGAACACUGGUCCUUGAUGUGCAGGAUAGGUGGGAGGCUUUGAAGUGUGGACGCCAGUCUGCACGGAGCCGUCCUUGAAAUACCACCCUUUAAUGGCUGGUGUUCUAACGUGGGCCCGUAAUCCGGGUUGCGGACAGUGUCUGGUGGGUAGUUUGACUGGGGCGGUCUCCUCCUAAAGAGUAACGGAGGAGCACGAAGGUUGGCUAAUCCUGGUCGGACAUCAGGAGGUUAGUGCAAUGGCAUAAGCCAGCUUGACUGCGAGCGUGACGGCGCGAGCAGGUGCGAAAGCAGGUCAUAGUGAUCCGGUGGUUCUGAAUGGAAGGGCCAUCGCUCAACGGAUAAAAGGUACUCCGGGGAUAACAGGCUGAUACCGCCCAAGAGUUCAUAUCGACGGCGGUGUUUGGCACCUCGAUGUCGGCUCAUCACAUCCUGGGGCUGAAGUAGGUCCCAAGGGUAUGGCUGUUCGCCAUUUAAAGUGGUACGCGAGCUGGGUUUAGA
rnacentral:rRNA from 1 species